rnacentral:lncRNA from 1 species
GGGAGAGGAGGAAGACCAGGCUAGAGGAGGGAGACCAGGCUAGAGGAGGAAGACCAGGCUAGGGGAGGAAGACCAGGCUAGGGGAGGAAGACCAGGCUAGGGGAGGGAGACCAGGCUAGAGGAGGGAGACCAGGCUAGAGGAGGGAGACCAGGCUAGAGGAGGAAGACCAGGCUAGAGGAGGAAGGCCAGGCUAGAGGAGGAAGACCAGGCUAGGGGAGGAAGACCAGGCUAGAGGAGGAAGACCAGGCUAGAGGAGGAAGACCAGGCUAGAGGAGGAAGGCCAGGCUAGAGGAGGAAGGCCAGGCUAGAGGAGGAAGACCAGGCUAGAGGAGGAAGACCAGGCUAGGGGAGGGAGACCAGGCGAGAGGAGGGGGCACAUGAAGGAAACCCAGCUCCUGUCUUCUGCCAACAGAAACAACCAGAGGUUUAACAUGCACAGUGCAGCUUCUCUAGUAACCACAUACAUCACUUUUUGGUCCUUAAAGGAAGCUGCUGUCUGACAGGAGAUGAUUAGACCCUGAC